rnacentral:lncRNA from 1 species
CACCAUGAUCAAGAUACCUAGAGUUAAAAUAAGCUGGCAUGAAAAUAUGGCAUCCGUGCCUGUGUCCAGGGACCCUCCAACUCCUCACACCAUCUCGACUCCCAUCAAGCAUCUAGCAUCCACAUUCUGUGAGCGUCGACUCGGUCACAUCGUCGUCGGGAGUCACAGGAGCACCUCUGCCUCCGCCAAGCACCCAGGCGCUGGACAAUCUCUGGCCUUACUCUAGCCUUUUCUUACCUGUUAGUUGCUCCUUGGUGGACUCUGGUCGUGGCUGUUGCCUGCUGGCUGUAGGCUCAGUCUGGCCAGGGGCCUAGGGCGGGCGCCAGCUUGAAGGUUAGCAGCAGCAGAUCCAGUGGAGGGAAAUGCGAAACACAGUGGAUCGGAUGGAGGGCUGCCUCGAUGAGUGGGCGUGGUAGCCCCGAGAUGGAUACGGUGGAGGACGGCCUCGACGAGCGGUGGUGUGCACACACAGAGCUGAUACUAUGGUAGUGGGCUUGGCGGGCUUAUCGAUAGGUUUUUUCUUUUGUUUUCGUGAUUCAUUUUCAUAGGCAGGCAUUGUGUCUGGCUGCGAGAAUGUUGAUUUUCCCAGACGGGCGUGCCCGCCUCUGUAAAGCUACAUUAACACAGGCCUUUCAGCAGAGGCGGACACUUUUUGCGUGCCUGGGUAAAACAACAACGCUCAUCUACCAAAAGAAUAGUGUAGUAGUUUGAGCAAAUGUGGUGCGUACUCAUGCAGUUCUGCAAGGUGGUGGAAUGCCAAGGUAACCUCCACAUACGGCCAUCCCUGUUUGCGAGACUGCUACAACAGCAAGCCUACUACUACUAGUAAGAUCCUUCUCCCUCUCCCUAUAUUUCCACACAUAUAAUAGGUGCUUACUUAAACAAAUGACAAGUUAACAAAUACCAACAACGGCCAUCACAAACCACCUUAGACCAAAGGUCACAGUAAACAAUCUUUACCGAGGUGAUUCAAAUGCCUGGUAAAUCAAAUAAAAAAGAAAAAGAAAAACCCAUGGAUAGGUUUGCUGAGCCCAACCACGGGCCUGCCAAACCCAUCCACGUGUCGCUGCCGUUGCUCGCCAGAUCUGGCCUCCACACAACUGGAUCUGCACCCGUGUCGUCAGCCACCUCGCCCGUGUUGCUAGCUCGCCUCCUUGCCCAUGGAUCUGGCCACCAUGGGCGGAUCUAGAUACAACAACCGCAAAUUUAGCCACUACGGGUGGAUUUGGCCACCACGCCGACGGAUCUGGCCACCACGCCCGUGGAUCUAGCCACCACGGGCGGAUCCGGCCACCACGGCCACAGAUCUGCCUAGUGAAGCUACCACCGUCUAGCCCAUUAGGAGGAGCCAUCCACAUUACCGUCGAACUCGAGAUGGAGAGUGCAAGGGAGAGGGAGUGGAGGGGCGCCGUUGGUCGCGCGAGGGGUGGCGCUCGGCUGCACGACAGGUGCGCUGCUUGACUGCGGGGAUAGGAGAUAGAAGUGGGAGUGGAAAACCCUAAGUGCUCCUUAAUUAUAGACAUGGCUAAGCCAAUGGGCCAUAUGGGCCUAGGACUUUUUCUAAGGGGUGGAUCAUUUAGGAGGUCCGCCUCCAAAAAUAGUGGCAUUUUUUAUUUUGCCUCCAUUAAUAGAUUUUAGGAGGCGGUUAUUUUCUAACUGCCUCUGUGUUGCGAGGAAGUUAAUUGUGUCUGUUUCGAUUAAUAAAAAUGACCGCCUCUGUUAAUCCUAGUUAGGCAUGAACUGAGGCAGUUGGAUUUUGUAAAUGCCUCGGUUAAUAAUAGGACCUUAUAAAAUCAUUUGUAUAGCGGUAUACCCCACACUCUUAGGAAAAAUAGGCAAAGAAGAGGACUCUAGGAGCCUAAUCUCCAUUGGUCCCCCACCACUCGAGAAAUUUGGUGGGUCUAAGAGCUCUCUGGAGAACCUUUUCUCAAGCAUCCAGAAAAUCAGUCCCUCGAACCUUACUUGUCUAGAGCCCUUUUGAAAACUUCCUAUGCCACACAGGAAAAGACCAUGUCACCCUUUAAGGAGCCUAAGCUUCGAAGGACUGACUCUGGUUCCACGGAUAAAUUAGGUGGCCCACCAGUUAGCUCAAAUAGUUGGGCAGAAUGGAGUUAAAGGGGUCGGGCCCCUCAGCAGAGGCACCCAAGAAAUUCGGUGGGUACAAAGCCCUAACCUAAGCCCCUCUCUCAAACAUCAUUUCAGUUUGUAUUUUGGUGACUGGUUAAGAAAUCUAUACCUAAUACUAUAUCUAUACCUAAAUUUCAGCCAAAAUUUUCGUCUGGACUAAUUUUCGUCUGGCCUAUCCCCUGAACCGGACUCGAACUGGAUUCGCUCACAUCUUGUAUCCCAGAUAGAAUAGAAAUCCAAAUCAGACUACCUCUUCUCAUCGGGCGCGCAGGAGCAGGGCCGGCCGCUGGAUCUCUUGGCCCCGAUACAGAUUUCCUGAUGGGGUAGAUGUUGGAUUCCUGGCCCCGGAACCCAUCGAAGCCUCGCAGCAGCCAGCAGGGAGAGGAGAGAUGCUGAGUGGGGAAAUAGGCCGAAGAGAAGGGUGGUCAAAAUCUGUGAGGAGCUCCACUGGAUUGGAAGAGGAGGAAGAAGGGUAUGCAAUUUUGAAGGCGCGCAGUGGGAAUUUCUCAGGGGAUGGAAGCGGGUGAUUUUGCAAUUUGGAGAGGGAAGUAGUGGAUGGCGGCGGCUUGUGACUGGCUAGGGUUAGCCACCUAUCGGGCUGGGCCAAAUU